UACAGAGGUCCCAAGCGUUAGGCGGAAUCACUGGGCUUAAAGCGCGUGUAGGCGGAUCCGUAAGUGCCUUGUGAAAUCCCACGGCUUAACCGUGGAACUGCUGGGCAUACUGCGGGUCUUGAGCCAUCUAGGGGCCUGCGGAACAAGCGGUGGAGCGGUGAAAUGCGUAGAUAUCAGGAGGAACACCGGUGGUGUAGACGGCUUUCUGGACCGUAACUGACGCUGAGACACGAAAGCGUGGGUAGCAAACAGG
rnacentral:rRNA from 1 species